rnacentral:rRNA from 1 species
GCAUAUCAAUAAGCGGAGGAAAAGAAACCAACAGGGAUUGCCCUAGUAACGGCGAGUGAAGCGGCAACAGCUCAAAUUUGAAAUCUGGCGUCUUUGGCGUCCGAGUUGUAAUUUGCAGAGGGCGCUUUGGCAUUGGCAGCGGUCCAAGUUCCUUGGAACAGGACGUCACAGAGGGUGAGAAUCCCGUACGUGGUCGCUAGCCUUUACCGUGUAAAGCCCCUUCGACGAGUCGAGUUGUUUGGGAAUGCAGCUCUAAAUGGGAGGUAAAUUUCUUCUAAAGCUAAAUACUGGCCAGAGACCGAUAGCGCACAAGUAGAGUGAUCGAAAGAUGAAAAGCACUUUGGAAAGAGAGUUAAAAAGCACGUGAAAUUGUUGAAAGGGAAGCGCUUGCAGCCAGACUUGCCUGUAGUUGCUCAUCCGGGUUUUUACCCGGUGCACUCUUCUAUAGGCAGGCCAGCAUCAGUUUGGGCGGUUGGAUAAAGGUCUCUGUCACGUACCUCCUCUCGGGGAGAACUUAUAGGGGAGACGUAAUGCAACCAGCCUGGACUGAGGUCCGCGCAUCUGCUAGA